UCGGGAAUUUUGGGCAAUGGGGGAAACCCUGACCCAGCAACGCCGCGUGAAGGAUGAAGUAUUUCGGUAUGUAAACUUCGAAAGAAUAGGAAGAAUAAAUGACGGUACUAUUUAUAAGGUCCGGCUAACUACGUGCCAGCAGCCGCGGUAAUACGUAGGGACCAAGCGUUGUUCGGAUUUACUGGGCGUAAAGGGCGCGUAGGCGGCAUGACAAGUCACUUGUGAAAUCUCUGGGCUUAACCCAGAACGGCCAAGUGAUACUGUCGCGCUAGAGUGCAGAAGGGGCAAUCGGAAUUCUUGGUGUAGCGGUGAAAUGCGUAGAUAUCAAGAGGAACACCUGAGGUGAAGACGGGUUGCUGGGCUGACACUGACGCUGAGGCGCGAAAGCCAGGGGAGCAAACGGGAUUAGAUACCCCCGUAGUCCCUGAGCGGGCUGGCAAGGC
rnacentral:rRNA from 1 species